AGCUUUCCCCUUGGAUUUCCUCUCGCACGGUAUGACGUUAUUGUAAGGGGUUUUGAGCGAGAAGAUCUUGGAGCCAAACUUUUCCUUUAAAAUAAUUAAGAAAGAAUUAUUUAAAUAAAGAAAGGCCCAGAGUCUCUUUUUCUAGUAAGUUGACAAACUAAUCAUUAGCUUAGCUAUACUUUUCCUUACUAAUUAGGAUGACAUAAUCACUCUAGCUAGCUUCAUAAUUUGCACGUUGGCACAAACUAUAAACUCGCCAAUAACAUUCUAGAUUUUAUUUGAUAAUAUAAAUUUUGGGAUAUAUAAAUUACUAAAUGGCUUCAAUUUUUCUUAAUAUGCUUCGCAGGAAACUUGAUCUCAUUCGCGGUGUACCUUGCCCCGAUACCAACAUUUUAUCGAGUAUAUCGAAAGAAAUCAACUGAAGGGUUUCAAUCAGAACCCUACAUCAUGGCAUUAUUCAGCGCAAUGCUAUGGAUAUACUACGCGUUCAUCAAGACCGAUGAGUAUCUCCUCAUCACCAUCAACUCAUUCGGAUGUGUCGUUGAGACCAUAUACAUUGCCAUGUUCCUUGCUUAUGCCCCAAAAAAGAUCAAGAUUUAUGCGACGAAAGUGAUAUUGGUGUUGAAUGUGGGAGUGUUCUCGUUGAUUGUUCUAUCGACUCUUUUGCUUGCCAAGGGUCCUCACCGUGUGAAACUCCUUGGGUGGAUAUGUGUGGGUUUUGCCGUGAGCGUUUUUGCUGCCCCAUUGAGCAUAAUUAGGCAAGUCAUCAGGACAAAGAGCGUAGAAUUCAUGCCUUUCUCUCUAUCGUUCUUCCUCACAUUGAGCGCCGUAGUAUGGUUCUCCUAUGGCCUAUGCACAAAGGACAUUUAUAUUGCGAUACCAAACAUUCUGGGGUUCAGCUUUGGGCUUGUUCAAAUGGUUCUCUACAUAGUCUACAAGGAUGCAAAGGAGUUGAACAUGAAAGACGAUAAGCUGCCGGAGUUCAUAGUCUCAACCCCGAAGCACAGUGAGACCCAAAUCGCUCCUCAAACCGUUGAAGAGAUCGACGUUAGCGUCGCGGAGUCGAAGAUCGAGGAAGAAGAGAAAGGGGAAGACGACAAGAAGGAUACAGUGUAGAGAUGUUGAUGAGCAAUGCAUGCAAGUGUUUGGUUCGCUCCUUUGAGGAGAUGAUCGAUGGCAUUUGUGUGCAUAUCAACUUUGCAUGAGAGAGAGAGAGAGAGAGAGAGAGAGAGAGAGAGAGACUGACCAUUUCUAUUAUAUGCUAGUUUCUAUCGUGUACGUAGCUCUUCAUUUUAUGUUACUUAGUUGUAGUUGAUC